rnacentral:rRNA from 1 species
GACGAACGCUGGCGGCGUGCCUAAUACAUGCAAGUCGAACAGUUGCGAACGGGUGAGUAACGCGUAGGUAAUUGCCUCAUAGCGGGGGAUAACUAUUGGAAACGAUAGCUAAUACCGCAUACUGUGAGCUGGACCUGCGUUGUAUUGGAUAGUUGGUGAGGUAAAGGCACACCAAGGAGUAGAUACAUAGCCGGCCUAGGAGGGUGAUCGGCCAACAUGGGACGUGGACACGGCCCAGACUCCGUAGGGAUGCAGCAGGUGGGAAUCUUCGGAAAUGGACGGAAGUCUGACCGAGCAAAGCCGCGUUAGGUAAGAAGGUUUUCGGAUCUUAAAGCUCUUUUGUUAGAGAAGCGUUAACUAACCAGAAAGGGACGGCUAACUACGUGCCAGCAGCCGCGGUAAUAC